rnacentral:rRNA from 1 species
UACGAAGGGGGCUAGCGUUGCUCGGAUUUACUGGGCGUAAAGGGCGCGUAGGCGGUCAGCACAAGUCAGUUGUGAAAUCUCCGGGCUUAACUCGGAAGGGUCAACUGAUACUGUGCGACUAGAGUGCAGAAGGGGCAACUGGAAUUCUCGGUGUAGCGGUGAAAUGCGUAGAUAUCGAGAGGAACACCUGCGGCGAAGGCGGGUUGCUGGGCUGACACUGACGCUGAAGCGCGAAAGCUAGGGGAGCGAACGGG